rnacentral:rRNA from 1 species
CACGUAGGCGGAUCUUUAAGUCAGGGGUGAAAUCCCAAGGCUCAACCUUGGAACUGCCCUUGAUACUGGGGAUCUCGAGUCCGGAAGAGGUUGGUGGAACUGCGAGUGUAGAGGUGAAAUUCGUAGAUAUUCGCAAGAACACCAGUGGCGAAGGCGGCCAACUGGUCCGGCACUGACGCUGAGGUGCGAAAGCGUGGGGAGCAAACA